UGGGGAAUAUUGCGCAAUGGGGGAAACCCUGACGCAGCGACGCCGUGUGAGGGAAGAAGGCUUUCGGGUCGUAAACCUCUGUCAGAAAGGAAGAACCUCCCAAGUCCGAAUCAGGGCUUGGGACUGACGGUACUU
rnacentral:rRNA from 1 species